AGUGAACGCUGGCGGCGUGCUUAACACAUGCAAGUCGAACGAGAACGGAACAUAGCUUGCUAUAUUUGUCAGCUAAGUGGCGCACGGGUGAGUAAUGUAUAGAUAACCUGCCCUUAAGAAAGGAAUAACAGUUGGAAACGACUGCUAAUGCCCUAUAUGCCUUUAAUACAUAAGUAUGCAAGGGAAACGCUUUAGUGCUUAAGGAUGGGUCUGUAUGGUAUCAGCUUGUUGGUGAGGUAAUGGCUCACCAAGGCUAUGACGCCUAACUGGUUUGAGAGGAUGAUCAGUCACACUGGAACUGAGACACGGUCCAGACUCCUACGGGAGGCAGCAGAGGGGAAUAUUGCACAAUGGACGAAAGUCUGAUGCAGCAACGCCGCGUGGAGGAUGACACAUUUCGGUGCGUAAACUCCUUUUGUAUAGGAAGAUAAUGACGGUACUAUAUGAAUAAGCACCGGCUAACUCCGUGCCAGCAGCCGCAGUAA
rnacentral:rRNA from 1 species